GCAACGAGCGCAACCCUUAUCAUUAGUUGCUACGCAAGGGCACUCUAAUGAGACUGCCGGUGACAACCGGAGAAGUGGGGAUGACGUCAAGUCCUCAUGGCCCUUAUGGGUAGGGCUUCACACGUCAUACAAUGGUCGGUACAGAGGGUUGGCCAAGCCGCGAGGCGGAGCCAAUCCCACAAAGCCGAUCGUAGUCCGGAUUGUUCUCUGCAACUCGAGAGCAUGAAGUCGGAAUCGCUAGUAAUCGCGGAUCAGCAUGCCGCGGUGAAUACGUUCCCGGGCCCUU
rnacentral:rRNA from 1 species